UACGAGGGGGCAAGCGUUAUUCAAUUUAACUGGGCGUAAAGCGUCUGUAGGCGGCAAGUUUCGUUAUUCGGUAAACAUGAAAGUUGGACUUUCAGAGACGGGUAAAACGUACUUUGCUAGAGUCAUAGAGAGGAUCGUAGAAUUUCUGAAGUAGGGAUGGAAUCCUGUCACAUCAGAAGGAAUACCAAAGGCGAAGGCAACGAUCUGGCUAUGACUGACGCUCAGAGACGAAAGCAUGGGGAGCGAAUGGGAUUAGAUACCCGUU
rnacentral:rRNA from 1 species